UAUAUAUAUGUGUAUAUAUGUAUUUAUUUUUUUCUUUUAAAAUCAGGAAUGAUUUUUUUAAUUACUACGACACUUACAAUCCCGUCUCUAAUUACAUUUUAAGUAUUAAUAACAGAAAAUGAUUAGUUACAGAACUGGGGCUGUGGGAAAAACCCAGAGGACCUUGUGCACACAAUCACGUAUAAAUCACUUUAUUUUGUGAACCUCACCCACCGACACGGGUUAAGGAUGAGCAGUUUUCUUAAGAACUGAUGAGUUCCAGUGCAUGGUGGGAAGGAGAACGUGUUCAAAUGACUCCAGGAGAAAAGGUCAUCAAAACAGCGUUUCAUUCUCGUUCGGUUCACACAGAAUAAUAGAGUCUAUAGCAUGUUUGCAGCAUUCCUUCAGCAGGAAGGAAGGAAGCACAGCUCAGGACGACUUCCUGUCUGAUUGUUUGCUGCUUUGGAACCAAACAAACGGCAGUUCGUCACCACGGAAACAGAAGAAACACUUCCUGUGCCGCAGAGAGAUCCGCUCGUCCACUACCGAGGGUCCCUAGAUAGUGUUUAAAACGUAUUUAAAGAUUACUGGAGGAAGAGUUAGUAUUAUGGGUUAUGGAGUUAAAAUCAUCUUCACGCUUCUCCGGAUGUUCGCUGAUGGACCGGAGCGCUGGGAUGUGUUUAUCUGACGCUCACUGCGACGGCACCCAUUCACUUCCAUUACUGAGACAUCUCCCCAGAUCCGAUGAAGACACUCCUAAACUCCUUUAGCUUCCAAAGUUUUCUUUACAGUUCAGCGACACGAAAACCUGUAAACAGAUUCCAGAACGUCUGAAGAUCCUCAGAAACAAGCUUCAAACAUUAAAACCCGAAAGGAUCGAACACUCACUGCUUAUUUAGCGAUGCACAAAUGUUACGGUGCAUGUAAAUAUAUAAUAUAGGCAUAAAAAAAUAGUUUAUGAAGUUAAUGUUUCAGUCUAAAUCAGAACUGAAAUUAUUCUUGAGCCAUUUCUGAGUGAAAAGUGAAUAAUGCAAUAAUAAAUAAAGUAUUUAUACAUCU